rnacentral:rRNA from 1 species
GUUCUCUCGAAGAUUAAGCCAUGCAAGCGUUAGCAUAAAGCGGCUUCGGCCCUCAGGCUGUGGAUGGCUCAUUAUAUCAGUUAUGACCUACACUCAGAUAAACGCCUUCGGGUUACCGAAGGAGUACAUGGACAACUGCUGUAACACGGGAGCUAAUACAUAGAGAGCGGUUCAACGUUUUGCAUAAAAACGACACCGCGUUCCCUAUUAACAAGCCCCGAUAAAAUCAAGCAUGAACUUGGUCACGUGGUUCGCCACGUGACCAGACAUGAUUGUGGCGAACGCAGUUGAUCACAUGUGCCUCUUCGGGAGCACGGUGCGUCUUGAGUUCGGGUUUCUGCCCUAUCAGCUCGUUGCAUAGGUAUUGCCUAUGCACGGCGGUUACGGGUACGGGGAAUCAGGGUUCGAUUCCGGAGAGGGAGCCUGAGAAAUAGCUACCACCCCUAAGGGGGGCAGCAGGCGCGAAAAUUACCCAAUGCUAACACAGCGAGGUAGUCACGAGAAAUACCGAUACCGCCGUUUGUCAAAACGACGGUAAUUGGCAUGUGAACAGUUUAAACCACUUAACUAGGAUCAAUUAGAGGACAAGUCUGGUGCCAGCACCCGCGGUAAUUCCAGCUCUAAUAACAUCGCCUAAAUUUGCUGCAGUUAAACGCUCGUAGUCGGCUCCCAGUCGACCGUGCUUAAAAAUGGCACGCUGUUUGCUCCGAGGUCUACCCACGCGAGACGGACCUGGAUCCGUCUUGUGCCAAGUGCUUCGUUGAGCAACAGCGCCCCGGCAUGGAAGACAUUUUACUAAUGUACGCAUACGCACCCGGUGUCCCAUCAUUUUGACGGGCCCGGGUUUUGAGCGUCCUAUUUUACCGUAAGAAAAAUAGAGCGCUCAAGGCAGGCUAGAAUACCGGGCUCCCCCGGUAGCUAACCACGCUCCACCGUCACUGGUGGGGCGGAGUGCAUACAUUAGUACGGGACAACUCAAUUGGCCUCACCUCCAGGGGCUUGUUGGGCUAGACCCCGUGCGGGGAGGCCUCACUCCGGUAACACGGAUUGAGGUUCCGCACGGGCGGCAAUGCGCAAUAGGGGCGGUUGGGGGCAUACGUAUUAUCGGGCUAGAGGUGAAAUUCUUGGACCCCGAUAAGACGACCGGAUGCGAAAGCGUUUGUCAAAAACGUUUUCAUUGAUAAAGAACGAAAGUUUAGGGAGCGAAGAUGAUCAGAUACCGUCGUAGUCUAGACUGUAAAAACUACCGACGGGUUAUUGGCGCGCGUCCAAUAUGGUACGACCCCGCCAGCAACCUUCACAAUUUUAAAUGGAAACUUGAGUGAUGGGUUCUGGGGGGAGUAUGGUCGCAAGACUGAAACUUAAAGGAAUUGACGGAAAAAUACACCAGGAGUGGAGCUUGCGGUUUAAUUUGACUCAACACGGGAAAACUUACGAGGUCAGGAUAAACAAUGGAUUGACAGACUAAAAGAUCUUUCUUGAUCGUUUAAAUGGUGGUGCAUGGCCGUUCUUAGUUGGUGGAGUGAUUUGUCUACUUAAUUGUGCUAACGAACGAGACCUUGCCCUGCUAAGUAGCACGGGUUAAACUAUAUUAAGCAUAACCGACCUACCCCGGCGUGUCCCGGGCCAGCUCGGUUCGCCUCGGCCCGCCAGCCCCCUCCUUCGGGAGGACUGACGGGUACAGCGGACCGAGAACUGGCCCCUCGAAAGGGUCACGUCCCCCGGGUCGUUAAACAAGGGGGGAUACCGGGGGCGGCACGGGGGAGGGGUCGUAACCCGGCCCUGGAAUUACCCGUGCUCGCUACUAAUAUAACACGAUAAUGGUUUUAAUGGGUUUAAAGCCCCGUUUCUUAGAGGGACUACCGGCCGCCAACCGGUGGAAGAUCAAGGCAAUAACAGGUCUGUGAUGCCCUUCGAUGUUCUCGGCCACACGCGCGCUACACUGAACGCUGUAAAGAGUCCAAAUCGCGACAGGGACCCGCUAAUUUAUUAGCGACCCUGAAGCGGUGGAGCCAAGGCCGAAAGGCCGAGGUAAUCUGCAGCGGCGUUCGUGCUAGGGAUAAUCGAUUGAAAUUAUCCGAUUUAAACGAGGAAUUCCUAGUAAGCGCGGUUCAUCACACCGCGCUGACUACGUCCCUAUUUUUUGUACACACCGCCCGUCGCUCCUACCGAUCGAACACGAGGGUGAAGCCAGUCGGGUCGUCUAGCCCUGCGGGCUCUCGUCGAAAGACGAGGCGGCAGGGUGAACAGGCGGCUUUGGCUGGCUCAGCCCCCGUGUAGAGGAA